rnacentral:rRNA from 1 species
UACGUAGGGUGCAAGCGUUAAUCGGAAUUACUGGGCGUAAAGCGCGCGUAGGCGGUCGUUCAAGUCGCGUGUGAGAGCCCCCGGCUCAACUGGGGAGGGUCACGCGAUACUGAUCGACUCGAAGGCAGGAGAGGGUAGUGGAAUUCCCGGUGUAGUGGUGAAAUGCGUAGAUAUCGGGAGGAACACCAGUGGCGAAGGCGACUACCUGGCCUGUUCUUGACGCUGAGGCGCGAAAGCUAGGGGAGCAAACGGG